GAGACCAAAGUGUAGAAAAUCUCCGCGAUGUUGGAGAAUCCAAGGUUCAACGCUUCAAAAUAUUCUUAGAUCUGAACCAGAAGAAAUUAUGGCAUAUGCUAAUUUUCAACCUCGAAGAGUUCAUCGCUCUAGCUAUUUUACAGGUCUGUAAAUUUUAGCUUCAAUCUCUGAUUUUCUGAUGUUUUUUUUCGAUUUUGUUUGAACUUCAUGGUUAUUUUGCUGCAAUUGUGUUGCGUUUUUUUCUUGUUUGUUAUGGAUUUCACGGAAUUUAGGGUUUUUUUUUUUUAAUUGUACGGUUAUGUGUUGUGAGAUUAGGGUUUUGAGGGAUCGACCUUCAAGAGGAUUGAAAUUAGCAGAAUGGUUUAAAUGUUUUUAAAGGUAAUUGAGGAACUAGUCAGAAUACGAGUGAAUUAGGUUAGUUUGUCUAUUUCUUCAGCGAAAUUAGUACUGUGUGAAUGCAAGAACUAUGGUUAUAAUGUGAUUAGUCAUGCUUAAUUUUGUUAGUUUUUUUGUUUUAUUUGAAGUCUACCAAUUCCGUAUUGCUAUUGGUUCUACAAAUGAUGGAUUUGUACCCAGCUUGAAUCAUUUAUGUGAAUCAUUUUGGUUAUAGUAGUCUUCUACUGUUGAUAUUGUAGGCAGUUGUGUACUCUAUGCUUGUAUCGUAAAUCUAUGUCUCUGGAGUAAAAUAAUUAGUAGUAGAGAUGAUCAAUAAGAUACCGUCUUGUUUUGGUUGUUACUGCAGAGAACAUAGGUUUUUGAAUAUGCAAAGUUUCUUGGGAACUCUCAGUUUUCUCUGCUUCAACUCCAGUCAUACAAACUUGUAUAUGCGCACAUGUUGGCCGAGGUUGGAAGGAUUUCGGAUUCAUUGAAAUACUGUCUAGCUGUUUACAAAUCUCUCAAAAUUGGACGAUCACCGGAAGAAGAUACAUUGAAACAGUUAUUAUCAUCUCUUGAAGAGAGGAUUAGGAUACACCAACAGGUUUUCCCUCAUGUUUCUCUAGUUAAGAAGUCCAGCGUGCUGUAUAAUGUUUUUAAACAUUUUUGUAUCUUUUCAGAGUGGAUAUGCAGCUAACUUGGCUCCAGGAAAGAUAGUGGUUAAAUUGCUCAACUUUUUUGAUAGUAUAGUUCAUCGCAUUGCUCAACUUUUUUGAUAGUACAGUUCAUCGCAUUGUUGAUAGUACUGGUUAAAUGUGUUUCCCAAGACUGUUGUGACUCACGAAUAAUCUGCCGUAGGUGAUUUUGAUCUACUUACCUCUUGAUUUGUUUGAGUUUUCAAUUAAAUAGCUAUCUCGACCUCUAUUUUGGUGUUUUAGUUCCAAAACUCUUUCAGAAUAGGCAUUUAUUUUUAUUUUGGCUCCUCCAAGUCUUAUUUUGUGUUUCCUCGUUUCAUGAACAAGUGAUCGGGCUGCUGAUGAGUCUCAGAGCAAUCAAGUGAAAAGAAAGAAGAUGCUGACCAAAUAAGUAAUGGUAUUGGGAGCGCUGCGGUGCAGGUUUUCCAGGGACAAUCCGAUGUUCUUCUCAGACAUGAAUUUAGUAAGCCAGUACAAGAGACGGAUUAUUUCUGAACCACAUAUACUUGCAAUUGCAUUUGUGUCGUUGCUUCAGGUUAAAAAUUGUUUGAAUGUAUGUUGGGUGAAAAGGAAGAAUAAUAAGAAGAAAAAGGCUAACACAAGCAAGCAAAAACAAAAAUACAGUAGGUGCCACAAGUUUGCCGGUUUUGCAAAGUGUGGCAGGCUUAUUGGCUAUAUGAACAUUGAGAUGAUUCCAUUAAAGUUUGUGAAGCAUUAGAGGAAAACUUGAUGAAUAUGGAAUGCAGAUUUGACAAUUAUAUGAAGUUGCUUGAGGAGGAAGGAUGCCAACACGCAUAAACUUAAGCUGAAUGUACCCAAGGAACCCUUAAUUGAGUUUGAUGACUAACUUGAAUCGUUGAUUGUAGUGGAAGUUGAACCAAGUGCGCAUAUUUCAAUUCUCCAUUAUAGAGUGGCUAAUGGCUAAAGAUAUGUCCUGUCAUGAAUUAUUUGUUUUUGUAGAAGGUUUUUAUUGUGACACAAGUUGUAGAAGAUUUUGAUGAAAUAUUUAUUUAUUUAAUUGUUUGUUAAUAAAAAUAUUUUGUCAUUUUUGUGUGUAGUUCAUUAUUGGAGCGUAAUAAUAGUGGUUAGUGCGCAGACAGAGAUGCAGGGUAUUGUUUUUUUUAAAAAAUAAAAAUAUUGCAAAGAGACCUGUUAUCUUACCUAGUGGGUCUCCAUAAAACGAACAAAGAGACCUGUUAUCUUACCUAGUGGGUCUCUGUGAAACAAACAAAGAGACCUCAUAUCUUAGGUAUGGGAUCUUUUCCCUUUCUGAAUUAAUUUUUCCAUGCCUUACAUAAGAGACCC